GGGGGUAUAGCUCAGCGGUAGAGUACGUGUUUGGCACACAUGAGGUCUUGGGUUCAAUUCCCAGUACCUCUA
rnacentral:tRNA from 1 species